rnacentral:rRNA from 1 species
UACAGAGGUCCCAAGCGUUGUUCGGAUUCAUUGGGCGUAAAGGGUGCGUAGGUGGCGGGGUAAGUUGGAUGUGAAAUCUCGGGGCUCAACCCCGAAACUGCAUUCAAUACUGCUCUGCUCGAGUACUGGAGAGGAGAUCGGAAUUUACGGUGUAGCAGUAAAAUGCGUAGAUAUCGUAAGGAAGACCAGUGGCGAAGGCGGAUCUCUGGACAGUUACUGACACUGAGGCACGAAGGCCAGGGGAGCAAACGGG